CUUGACGACCAUAGAGCGUUGGAACCACCUGAUCCCAUCCCGAACUCAGAAGUGAAACGAUGCAUCGCCGAUGGUAGUGUGGGUUUCCCCAUGUGAGAGUAGGUCAUCGUCAAGA
rnacentral:rRNA from 1 species